rnacentral:rRNA from 1 species
AGAUAGCCAGCANGUCUAGUACAUGCCGUAUUAAGGCGAAACCGCGAAUGGCUCAUUAAAUCAGUUAUGGUUCCUUGGAUCGUACCUUACUACUUGGAUAACUGUGGCAAUUCUAGAGCUAAUACAUGCAGCAGAGCUCCGACCUUCGGGGACGAGCGCUUUUAUUAGACCAAAACCAAUCGGACCUCGUGUCCGUACUUUGUGGUGACUCUGUAUAACUUUGGGCUGAUCGCACGAGCCCGUCUCGGCGACGUAUCUUUCAAGUGUCUGCCUUAUCAACUUUCGAUGGUAGGUUACGCGCCUACCAUGGUCGUAACGGGUAACGGGGAAUCAGGGUUCGAUUCCGGAGAGGGAGCCUGAGAAACGGCUACCACAUCCAAGGAAGGCAGCAGGCGCGCAAAUUACCCACUCCCAGAACGGGGAGGUAGUGACGAAAAAUAACAAUACGGGACUCUUUUGAGACCCCGUAAUUGGAAUGAGUACACUCUAAAUCCUUUAACGAGGAUCCAUUGGAGGGCAAGUCUGGUGCCAGCAGCUGCGGUAAUUCCAGCUCCAAUAGCGUAUAUUAAAGUUGUUGCGGUUAAAAAGCUCGUAGUUGGAUCUCAGUUCCAGACGGGUGGUCCGCCUACCGGUGGUUACUGCCUGUUCUGAACAGCCAGCCGGUUUCUCUUGAUGAUCUUCACCGGUUGUCUUGGGUGACCGGCAAGUUUACUUUGAAAAAAUUAGAGUGCUCAAAGCAGGCGUGACGCCUGAAUAAUGGUGCAUGGAAUAAUGGAAUAGGACCUCGGUUCUAUUUUGUUGGUUUUCGGAACACGAGGUAAUGAUUAAGAGGGACAGACGGGGGCAUUCGUAUUGCGACGCUAGAGGUGAAAUUCUUGGACCGUCGCAAGACGANAUGNANNUUUUUUUUU